rnacentral:lncRNA from 1 species
CAUUAAUUUGAUACGUUUUGAGUGUCAGCAGAUAAUGUCUAUCCGGAUAACACUUCAGACAUAUUAAUUUUUACACAAGUACAUGAACUACAAUUCGGUGCGUCUAUUCUACAGAGGAUAUACAUACUUUUUAAAUUGAUAUCAUGCAUUAUGUUAUGAUUUUAUCAACAAAAGGAAACUACAGGCAGUCUAAAGGCUUCACCAGGAUUAUAACACAGAAAGAAAAUAAUGAAACGGACCAAGAAAAUAUGUUUAAACCAGGCCACAAUAUUCUGUAUGUGUCUGUCCUAGGUAAAGAGCCUGUAAUUCAGUGUUUGUCAUUUGUUGCUGUAUAUUAUAUGUUUUGUACAUAAAUCAGGCCGCUUACUGUCUUGUUUAAAUUGUUUAAGAUUUAUUAUUUCGGGUUACAGCUGACAAUUCGGUUUUAGUUAUGCUUAUUGUCGAAAGCCGU